GGGGGGGGGGGGGGGGGGGGGGGGGGGGGGGGGGGGGGGGGGGGGGGGGGGGGGGGGGGGCACUGGGGCUGGAGCAGCCUGGGACAGGGGGAGGUGUCCCUGCCAUGGCAGGGGUGACUCUGGGUGGGCUCUGAGGUCCUUCCCAGCCCAAACCAUUCCAUGAUUCCGUGUGGAAAUCCCACGGAGUGCUGGGAGCAGGGCAGGAGCUCUCCUGCACACUCAGAGCUCCCCUCAAGGCCUGGCACCUGCAGAACAUGGCAACGAGAGACUGGAAUGGGAGCAGCUCUGUGGAGCUGGGUGCCACUGGCAGAGUCUGACAGAACUCUCGGCAGAAAGAAUUUGGGGGAAAAGGAUCAGGAGCCAACUGAGACCAAUCCCCAAUGCUAAAAUUCCAGCGCUCCAAGUCCAACACAACUCCCAAAGAGAGGAGCAGCUCGGCCCAGCCCCCCUGCAGGCUCCAACCCAGCCCAGCUGGGAGGAACCUCCAGGAAAACACUCUGAGAUUUAAAAGGUGCCCUCAGGAAGGUUCCUUCUGCUAAAGGAAUCCCAGGCAGCCCCACAGCACAGAGCCUGGAGCGCAGCUCCAUCCCAGAAAUCCUGAGGUGCUCUGCUCACCCCCUGCCCUGCCCCUUGGGCUGCCUUCCCCAAGGAUGGGAAUGGACAGAUUUCUUCUCAGGGAGGAUUUCCCCAUGGAAAGGGAGCUCAGGGACUGGAGCUGCCCAGGGAGGUUUGCAGUGCCCAUCCCUGCGGGUGGCACCUGGAGGUGGCACUCAGAGCUCUUGCUGGGGACAAGCAGUGCCCAUCCCUGCGGGUGGCACCUGGAGGUGGCACUCGGGGUGACAAGGUGGGGACAGGGCACAGGGCACAGCUGGCACUGGGGGGCUUUUCCAGCCUCAGGGAUUUGGGAUUUUGGGAUCCCGUCCCUCCUGCACUCACAUGGAAUCGUGGUCCCUGCUCUGAGCCGUGGAAGUUGUCACAACACAGGCGACAAUUGCAUUUAUUUGUGCUUUUUUCAGAUACCCGUUUAUUUUUUCUGUGAUUAAAAACCCCCUGGGUCUGUUUGAAUGCAGGAUUUUGGUGAAGGAGAGGAACCCAAGCUCUUGGUGUUUGUCCCUGCAGAGGGGGGGGGGGGGGGGGGGGGGGGGGGGGGGGGGGGGGGGGGGGGGGGGGGGGGGGGGGGGGGGGGGGGGGGGGGGGGGGGGGGGGGGGGGGGGGGGGGGGGGGGGGG
rnacentral:lncRNA from 1 species